GGGGGCGUAGCUCAGCUGGGAGAGCAUUGCGCUGGCAGCGCAAAGGUCAGGGGUUCGAACCCCCUCGCCUCCACCG
rnacentral:tRNA from 1 species